GACGAACGCUGGCGGCGUGCUUAACACAUGCAAGUCGAACGGAAAGGCCCUGCUUGCAGGGUACUCGAGUGGCGAACGGGUGAGUAACACGUGGGUGAUCUGCCCUGCACUUCGGGAUAAGCCUGGGAAACUGGGUCUAAUACCGGAUAGGAGCCAUUUUUAGUGUGAUGGUUGGAAAGUUUUUUCGGUGUAGGAUGAGCUCGCGGCCUAUCAGCUUGUUAGUGGGGUAAUGGCCUACCAAGGCGGCGACGGGUAGCCGGCCUGAGAGGGUGGACGGCCACAUUGGGACUGAGAUACGGCCCAGACUCCUACGGGAGGCAGCAGUGGGGAAUAUUGCACAAUGGGCGCAAGCCUGAUGCAGCGACGCCGCGUGGGGGAUGACGGCCUUCGGGUUGUAAACUCCUUUCGCUAGGGACGAAGCUUUUUGUGACGGUACCUAGAUAAGAAGCACCGGCUAACUACGUG
rnacentral:rRNA from 1 species